rnacentral:rRNA from 1 species
UACAGAGGAUGCAAGCGUUAUCCGGAAUGAUUGGGCGUAAAGCGUCUGUAGGUGGCUUUUUAAGUCCGCCGUCAAAUCCCAGGGCUCAACUCUGGACAGGCGGUGGAAACUACCAAGCUGGAGUACGGUAGGGGCAGAGGGAAUUUCCGGUGGAGCGGUGAAAUGCGUAGAGAUAGGGAGGAACAUCAAUAACGGCGAAGGCAGUUAACUAUUCUGUUACUGACAUUGAGGCACGAAAGCGUGGGGAGCAAAACGG